rnacentral:rRNA from 1 species
AGAGUUUGAUCCUGGCUCAGAAUCAACGCUGGCGGCGUGCCUAACACAUGCAAGUCGAACGAGAAAGUGGAGCAAUCAAUGAGUAAAGUGGCGACCGGGUGAGUAACACGUGACUAACCUACCUUCGAGUGGGGAAUAACCUCGGGAAACCGGGGCUAAUACCGCAUAAUGCCUUUGGGUUAAAGGAGCAAUUCGCUUGA